UUUUUUUGUUUUAUUUUUAUAAUACAUACUUUAACUAAUGUUUAAUAGUGAGCCGCAGACUGAAUAGCAAUGGCUUGCUCCCAGUCCGCCAAUAGUGCACAGAGUUGGAAAAUGAAGGUUGAGCUAACCAAAAGGUUACGCUCUAAAUUCACUAAUGAUCCUUCCGCAGGUUCACCUACGGAAA
rnacentral:misc_RNA from 1 species